GAUGAACGCUAGCGACAGGCUUAACACAUGCAAGUCGAGGGGCAGCAUGAUUUGUAGCAAUACAGAUUGAUGGCGACCGGCGCACGGGUGAGUAACGCGUAUGCAACUUACCUAUCAGAGGGGGAUAGCGCGGCGAAAGUCGGAUUAAUACCCCAUAAAACAGGGGUCCCGCAUGGGAAUAUUUGUUAAAGAUUCAUCGCUGAUAGAUAGGCAUGCGUUCCAUUAGGCAUUUGGCGGGGUAACGGCCCACCAAACCGACGAUGGAUAGGGGUUCGGAGAGGAAGGUCCCCCACAUUGGUACUGAGACACGGACCAAACUCCUACGGGAGGCAGCAGUGAGGAAUAUUGGUCAAUGGCCGAGAGGCUGAACCAGCCAAGUCGCGUGAAGGAAGAAGGAUCUAUGGUUUGUAAACUUCUUUUAUAGGGGAAUAAAGUGGAGGACGUGUCCUUUUUUGUAUGUACCCUAUGAAUAAGCAUCGGCUAACUCCGUGCCAGCCGCCGCAGUAAAAC
rnacentral:rRNA from 1 species